rnacentral:rRNA from 1 species
ACGAACGCUGGCGGCAUGCCUAACACAUGCAAGUCGAACGAGACCUUCGGGUCUAGUGGCGCACGGGCGCGUAACGCGUGGGAACCUGCCCUUAGGUUCGGAAUAACCCCCCGAAAGGGGUGCUAAUACCGGAUAAUGUCUUCGGACCAAAGAUUUAUCGCCUUUGGAUGGGCCCGCGUUGGAUUAGCUAGUUGGUAGGGUAAAAGCCUACCAAGGCGGCGAUCCAUCGCUGGUCUGAGAGGAUGAUCAACCACACUGGGACUGGGACACGGCCCAGACUCCUACGGGAGGCAGCAGUGGGGAAUAUUGGACAAUGGGCGAAAGCCUGAUCCAGCAAUGCCGCGUGAGUGAUGAAGGCCUUAGGGUUGUAAAGCUCUGUUACCCGGGAUGAUAAUGACAGUACCGGGAGAAUAAGCACCGGCUAACUCCGU